rnacentral:rRNA from 1 species
UUCUAGAGAUAGAAAGUUACUUCGGUACAUCGGUGACAGGUGGUGCAUGGUUGUCGUCAGCUCGUGUCGUGAGAUGUUGGGUUAAGUCCCGCAACGAGCGCAACCCCUAUUGUUAGUUGCCAUCAUUCAGUUGGGCACUCUAGCGAGACUGCCGGUAAUAAACCGGAGGAAGGUGGGGAUGACGUCAAAUCAUCAUGCCCCUUAUGACCUGGGCUACACACGUGCUACAAUGGUUGGUACAACGAGUUGCGAGUCGGUGACGGCGAGCUAAUCUCUUAAAGCCAAUCUCAGUUCGGAUUGUAGGCUGCAACUCGCCUACAUGAAGUCGGAAUCGCUAGUAAUCGCGGAUCAGCACGCCGCGGUGAAUACGUUCCCGGGCCUC